CCUACGGGAGGCAGCAGUGGGGAAUAUUGCGCAAUGGGCGAAAGCCUGACGCAGCGACGCCGCGUGAGGGAUGAAGGUCUUCGGAUCGGAAACCUCCGUCAGCAGGGAAGAACGGUCACUGUGCUAAUCAGCAGUGAAUUGACGGUACCUGCAAAGGAAGCACCGGCUAACUCCGUGCCAGCAGCCGCGGUAAUACGGAGGGUGCGAGCGUUAAUCGGAAUUACUGGGCGUAAAGCGCGCGUAGGCGGUAGGUCAAGUCAAGGGUGAAAUCCCCGGGCUCAACGUGGGAACUGCCUUUGAUACUGGCCAACUGGAGUGUGGUAGAGGAUAGCGGAAUGCCUGGUGUAGGGGUGAAAUGCGUAGAGAUCUGGAAGAACAUCAGUGGCGAAGGCGACUAACUGGGCCAUAACUGACGCUGAGGAGCGAAAGCGUGGGUAGCAAACAGGAUUAGAUACCCCUGUAGUC
rnacentral:rRNA from 1 species